GACGAACGCUGGCGGCGUGCCUAAUACAUGCAAGUAGGACGCAGUUGCGAACGGGUGAGUAACGCGUAGGUAACUGCCUAUUAGAGGGGGAUAACUAUUGGAAACGAUAGCUAAUACCGCAUACUAGUAGAUGGACCUGCGUUGUAUUAGCUAGUAGGUAGGGUAAUGGCCUACCUAGGCGACGUUACAUAACCGGGCUGGGGAGGUGAUCCGCCAAACUGGGACUGGAGAAAGGCGCAGGCUGCUUCGGGAGGCAGUAGGAGGGAAUCAUCGGCAAUGGGGGGAAACCUGAACAAGCAACGCCGCGGGAGUGAAGAAGGUUUUCGGAUCGGAAAGCUCUGUUGUUAGGGAAGCGGUACUUAACCAGAAAGGGACGGCUAACUCCGUGCCAGCCGCCGCGGUAAUAC
rnacentral:rRNA from 1 species